GCUAAGAUGGCAGAGCCCGGUAAUUGCAAAAGACCUAAGCCCUUUUAUUCAGAGGUUCAACCCCUCUUCUUAGCU
rnacentral:tRNA from 1 species